rnacentral:tRNA from 1 species
GGGCCCGUGGUCUAGCGGUUACGCAAAACUGCAGUUUUGUAAUCGCAUCUUGCGUCGCAGAUGACAACUCCCUUACACGGAGUAGGCCCCCGGUUCAAAUCCGGGCGGGCCCA